rnacentral:rRNA from 1 species
CAAGUCGAACGCGAAAUUUCCCUUCGGGGAGAAAGUAGAGUGGCGCACGGGUGAGUAACACGUAGGUAAUCUACCUUCGGAUGGGGAAUAACAAUCGGAAACGGUUGCUAAUACCGCAUAAUGCAGCGGCACCUAAUGGUGACAGUUGUUAAAGCGGGGGAUCGAAAGACCUCGCGUCUGAAGAGGAGCCUGCGGCGGAUUAGCUAGUUGGUAAGGUAAUGGCUUACCAAGGCUACGAUCCGUAACCGGCCUGAGAGGGCGGUCGGUCACACUGACACUGACAUACGGGUCAGACUCCUACGGGAGGCAGCAGUCGGGAAUUUUGGGCAAUGGGCGAAAGCCUGACCCAGCAACGCCGCGUGAAGGAUGAAAUCCCUCGGGAUGUAAACUUCGCAAGAACAGGAAGAAUAAGUAGGGGACAAUACCCUCUAUGAUGACGGUACUGUUUGUAAGCUCCGGCUAACUCCGUGCCAGCAGCCGCGGUAAUACGGGGGGAGCAAGCGUUGUUCGGAUUUACUGGGCGUAAAGGGCGCGUAGGCGGUCAGCACAAGUCAGUUGUGAAAUCUCCGAGCUUAACUCGGAAAGGUCAACUGAUACUGUGCGACUAGAGUGCAGAAGGGGCAACUGGAAUUCUCGGUGUAGCGGUGAAAUGCGUAGAUAUCGAGAGGAACACCUGCGGCGAAGGCGGGUUGCUGGGCUGACACUGACGCUGAGGCGCGAAAGCUAGGGGAGCGAACGGGAUUAGAUACCCCGGUAGUCCUAGCCUUAAACGAUGAAUGCUUGGUGUCUGGGGUUAUAAAGUCCCCGGGUGCCGUCGCUAACGCUUUAAGCAUUCCGCCUGGGGAGUACGGUCGCAAGACUGAAACUCAAAGGAAUUGACGGGGACCCGCACAAGCGGUGGAGCAUGUGGUUUAAUUC